UGACGAAGGCGGCCACCGAGGAGAUAACCAGCAGGUUCACUGAUACCAGCCCAUCCGGCUCGUCCACGAAGCUCUCUGUCACCAGCCCUGGGUGUGAUGUGCUGCCACCAGAGAUGUCCUGCUCGAAAGCUGUCCUGUGGGGGAGUGCAAAAAAAGAAGGGGUCAGCUGGCCUCCGACAGCCUCCCAA